UACAGGGGGGGCAAGCGUUGUUCGGAAUUACUGGGCGUAAAGGGCUCGUAGGUGGCCAACUAAGUCAGACGUGAAAUCCCUCAGCUUAACUGGGGAACUGCGUCUGAUACUGGAUGGCUUGAGUUUGGGAGAGGGAUGCGGAGUUCCAGGUGUAGCGGUGAAAUGCGUAGAUAUCUGGAGGAACACCGGUGGCGAAGGCGGCAUCCUGGACCAACACUGACACUGAGGAGCGAAAGCCAGGGGAGCAAACGGG
rnacentral:rRNA from 1 species